rnacentral:rRNA from 1 species
UACGGAGGGGGCUAGCGUUGUUCGGAAUUACUGGGCGUAAAGCGCGCGUAGGCGGCUUUGUAAGUUAGAGGUGAAAGCCCGGAGCUCAACUCCGGAAUUGCCUUUAAGACUGCAUCGCUAGAAUCAUGGAGAGGUUAGUGGAAUUCCGAGUGUAGAGGUGAAAUUCGUAGAUAUUCGGAAGAACACCAGUGGCGAAGGCGACUAACUGGACAUGUAUUGACGCUGAGGCACGAAAGCGUGGGGAGCAAACAGG